UGUGUAGGCGGUUCUUUAAGUUUGGUGUGAAAUCUCCCGGCUCAACUGGGAGGGAGCGCCGAAUACUAAGGGACUAGAGUACGGGAGAGGAAAGUGGAAUUCCUGGUGUAGCGGUGAAAUGCGUAGAUAUCAGGAGGAACACCGGUGGUGUAGACGGCUUUCUGGACCGUAACUGACGCUGAUACACGAAAGCGUGGGUAGCAAACAGGAUUAGAUACCCUGGUAGUCCACGCCCUAAACGAUGCAUAUUUGGUGUGGGCAGUUCAUUCUGUCCGUGCCGGAGCUAACGCGUUAAAUAUGCCGCCUGGGGAGUACAGUCGCAAGGCUGAA
rnacentral:rRNA from 1 species